rnacentral:misc_RNA from 1 species
UCGGCCGGGCGCGCGGCGGGGCAGGUGUUCAACAUCUGGUCGCGCGGCUAUUCGAAUGCGGCCAGCGCAUUGUCGCGCUAUCGCGAGCGCGCCCGCGGCCGCGAACAGAUGCGGGAACGCGCCCGGGAGGCGCGGAUUGCGGCGGCCAGGGCGCAGACCGCCCGAUUGAAAUAACACUCUGCCGGCGGGGUUAUUGGAACAUGAGGGCUGAGGCUGUUCCGGCCUCGCGGGAAAGUGAGCCUGCGGCUGGAGCGUUGCUGUAACUUUUCGCGAAAUGGACCGUAGAUCGU